CAGACGGACUCUCUUCCAGUCAUCGGCGAAGAAUUCACCCUGUUAUGUUCUUUCACACCUCAAACCAGCUAUCGGCAAGUGCUUUGGACCAAGGGCAGCAACGUCCAUUUGGCCUAUCAUUUCUGUUUGAUGAACCUACCCUGUAGGCAUUAUGUUCGGUCCGCAUCGAAAUACACCUUUGUAGCAGACCAUGCCGGUGGAAAUUUAACAAUCAAAAAGCUUGAUGAGAAUGAUGGCGGCGAAUACCGUUGUUCAUUAAGCAGGACAAGUGGAAACGAGAUUUCAGGAUCAGCUAGCCAACAGAUCCACCGAAUAGGAUUAUUAUCAAUGAACGAAGAGCAAGUUGUUACUUCUUUAAGAACUUAUCUAUAACGGUAAAAGCUGGAGAGACAUACAGCAUCAACUGUGAAGCAACGCAAGCAAGGCCUCCCGCAGGACUGAAAUGGGAAAUACCAGGUGGCAUUGCUGUUGCUCUUCAAGAUCAGUCUCAUUUCGUACAAGACAACUUUUACAUCUCUCGGAGACAUUUAACGAUAACACCGUCCAGAAAUGACCAAGGAAAGAUUAUUAGCUGCAUUGCAUCACACCCAAAGCUAGAAAGUGACCUUCAAUGCUCAAUCAUCCUGAAUGUCCAAGUUUGGCCUAAGAAUGUGUUACUCUUUACAACUAGAGGUAACCGGUCUCAGUUGACGGACAUAUACGUUCAAGAGAAU